AGUAGUUUGAUCAGUGGCUCGAGGACGAACGCUGGCGGCACGCUUAACACAUGCAAGUCGAACGGAGAAAUUGGAUUUAUUCAUUUUCUUAGUGGCGGACGGGUGAGUAACACGUGAGCAACCUGCCUUUAAGAGGGGGAUAGCUUCUGGAAACGGAUGGUAAUACCCUAUAAAAUAUAUUUAAGGCAUCUUAGAUAUAUCAAAGAUUUAUCACUUAAAGAUGGGCUCGCGUCUGAUUAGGUAGUUGGUGAGGUAACGGCUCACCAAGCCGACGAUCAGUAGCCGGACUGAGAGGUUGAACGGCCACAUUGGGACUGAGACACGGCCCAGACUCC
rnacentral:rRNA from 1 species